AGAGUUUGAUCCUGGCUCAGGACGAACGCUGGCGGCGUGCUUAACACAUGCAAGUCGAACGGAAAGGCCCUUCGGGGUACUCGAGUGGCGAACGGGUGAGUAACACGUGGGUGAUCUGCCCUGCACUUUGGGAUAAGCCUGGGAAACUGGGUCUAAUACCGAAUAUGACCAUGCACUUCCUGGUGUGUGGUGGAAAGCUUUUGCGGUGUGGGAUGGGCCCGCGGCCUAUCAGCUUGUUGGUGGGGUAAUGGCCUACCAAGGCGACGACGGGUAGCCGGCCUGAGAGGGUGACCGGCCACACUGGGACUGAGAUACGGCCCAGACUCCUACGGGAGGCAGCAGUGGGGAAUAUUGCACAAUGGGCGCAAGCCUGAUGCAGCGACGCCGCGUGAGGGAUGACGGCCUUCGGGUUGUAAACCUCUUUCAGCACAGACGAAGCGCAAGUGACGGUAUGUGCAGAAGAAGGACCGGCCAACUACGUGCCAGCAGCCGCGGUAAUACGUAGGGUCCGAGCGUUGUCCGGAAUUACUGGGCGUAAAGAGCUCGUAGGUGGUUUGUCGCGUUGUUCGUGAAAACUCACAGCUUAACUGUGGGCGUGCGGGCGAUACGGGCAGACUUGAGUACUGCAGGGGAGACUGGAAUCCCUGGUGUAGCGGUGGAAUGCGCAGAUAUCAGGAGGAACACCGGUGGCGAAGGCGGGUCUCUGGGCAGUAACUGACGCUGAGGAGCGAAAGCGUGGGGAGCGAACAGGAUUAGAUACCCUGGUAGUCC
rnacentral:rRNA from 1 species